GUGGCGCCCUGCAAUGUGGGCCUGCACCACUGUCAUCCGAUUCAUUGUGAGCGUGCCCGUCUUGUCGGAGCAGAUGGCCGUGGCGUUGCCCAUUGUCUCACAGGCGUCCAGGUGGCGGACCAGACAGACCUUGACUGAAUAGGCCAGGGAGAUGGUGACAGCCAGAGGGAGACCUUCAGGCACGGCCACCACCAGCACCGUCACACCGAUGAUGAAGAACUUGACCAAGAACUGCACGUAGAUCGGCGUACACUCACUGGUCCACGGAACCCCCUGAAUCCAGAAGAUCAGUGAAAAAGUUGGUGUCCAUGACUAUCUCUCCUCCCACAGAGGGUCUACUCCAGAACUUAUCAGCACAGGUGAUGAAAAGCUAAAACUCCUGGUCCUGAAAGUAGGACCGAAAUUAACCUCUCAAGAAUCAUCGGACAGUUAGGAAGGUUAUGAUUUAUAGAUAAUGGCUCUGGCCUGUUCGGCACAUCUCAUGAAGUACACAGUAGUACACCACGAUGAGGACUGACCCAAGGAAGCACUGAAUAAGGAGGUGAAUAACAGGACAACACGUUUGCUGCUCUGACUCAAUUAAUCCCUUGUGUCUACCAUAUAUGUGGCGGCUUCACAUUCACACUAAGAGUGAAGUGGAGUGCAGUGACAUGUAGACUGGUGGUUUUUCAUCGUUAUGAUAAAAAUAUGAACCUAAC